rnacentral:piRNA from 1 species
UGAGUCAUUUCUCAUGUUUUACGAUAACUGC